GCAAGAUUCCUCAUUCUAAAAAAUCGAAGGUUUGUGCAUCUGAAAAUGAAGAGUUGCGCGAAAGAGUUAAGAAUAUGGAAAACUUGUUAGCAAAUGUGAUGACUUUAAUUCAAAAUCGAUUUUCUGGAGCAGAUGUUAAUGAUAUAAUACAAGCUGCAAGACAGGUUCCUGAUGCUACUAGUGCUCAAAACCAUUUGAAUUCACUUAGUCCAAACAACAACGAAAAUAAUGAAAAUGGUGAAGAUUAAAAGCUAACUUGUUGUUGAAGAUGGAA